CUUGACUCUAGUCUGGCACUGUAAGGAGACAUGAGAGGUGUAGCAUAAGUGGGAGACCCUCCCUUCGCGGGGCGGCGGUCGCCGUUGAAAUACCACUACUUUCAUCGUUUCUUUACUUACUUGGUGAGGCGGAGGGCGCGCGUCGUUCCCCGUGUUCGGCGCGCGGUCUUCUGGAACCAAGGGCGGCGAGUGCAAGAUCCUUGCCGAUCGAUCCGAUCCAAGGACACUGCCAGGCG
rnacentral:rRNA from 1 species